GUAUCUGAGUGUUUCUGUCAUUGUCUGCCUGCAACUGUGUGUGUGUGUGUGUGUGAGACAGUCAUACACACAGUUAGACAGUCACACACACACACACACACACAGUUGCAGGCAGACAAUGACAAACACA